AGUCAGUGCAGGGCCCGAGGGUAAGUCGGUCACACCGACCUGCACCCCAGCUCUUCCCCGAGGAACAGGCUGACAGGCUCCUGGGCACCUGCCCGUCUCCCUGCAGGACACUCCCUUGAGUGGUGAUCACACCAAGUCUCCUAUUUCAUCAGGUGACUCUCAGGGCUGUAGGGGGCAUGGAAGUGUGGGAGGGAAACGCCGUCCUGUGCGGAGGCCUCACCUGGACACGCCUGCCCGGCCAGGAGCUGUGUGCAUUUCACCUGCGGUGACUCACCCGGCAGGCAUUUACUGGGUGCUGGUGAUAUCCAGGCUGUGAGGGCAGAGAUGGAAUGUACGGGUCCUGCGGUGUAGAGCCUGCUGACAGACAGAUGACAAGUCCUGGCAAUGUUUACGAGACCCUGAGGGAUGUGGCCCCUGGUGCCUACUCUCCUCAUCCUCAGCUCUGUUCUGAGCAUCCUUAGGUGGCCUCAGACACUCUGGCCACCUUGCUGUUCCUGGAACACUGAGGCACACUCUCACCUCGGGGCCUUUGCACUCGCUGUUCCCUUUGCCCAAAUUCUUCUUCUCCUUCACCUCUUUCAAUUUAUACUCAGAGGUCACCUUCUUCUAAUUGUCUGUUAAAAUUGCAACUGGCCCUCUUCCCCAUACUCCUGAUCUUUGCUUGUUGUGUAUCAUCUUUCUAAAGCAUUCAUCUUCUACCACAGCCUAUGAAUGACUCUGUUAUGUUUUAUUAUUUACUAUCUGCCAUCACCUCCCAGAACACAACCUCCAGGAGAGCAGGAGUCUGGAGCUGGAAUCGUGACUGUCGAGGGAAUGGACAGGCCACCACAGGGCUUUGGAGAGUCACCUGCCCUUUCUGUCUCCACCCGCGUCUCCAGGGCUGUCCCUGAGCUGAGCUCUCCCGCCCGUCACUUGAAUCCCACCCUUGGCUCUGCACCGGAGAGACUCUGUGAGUCCCCUGAGUGGGCUUGGUCACCUGAGGACCUUCCUUCCUGGUGCUGCAGGAAGAGAGUGCAGCCAAGUGGAAGAGGGGACAGCAGUCCCUGCCAGGAAAUGUUGUCAGGAACUUGAUUAUCACAGCUUUGAAACAACUUAGCAAAGGAAGCUCCUGAAGGAAGCCUUUGUCUUUUGUUUAAUGAUCCAGCUCUGCGUCCGCCUCCCUCCUGCUCCGCCCCUCCUUCCCUGGCUGUCCACCGUGGUCGCCAGCCUUGCUGUCCAGCGUGGGGCUCUGAGCCCCUCUGCGUGUCUUAGGAAUCCUGCCCCUUUCUAUGGGGGUUUCUGAAGGUCCCGGUGUAGCGGGGCACAGAUUCCACUUGUCACCUGGACCUCCUCUAUCAGGCUGGACCCCACCUCAUUGUCCUGCCACCUCGAGUCCAGAGAACUGCUUCCCCGGAGCUGGAUUUGGUCUAGUUCCCCAAACGAGACCUCAGCCUGGAC
rnacentral:lncRNA from 1 species